UACGUAGGGUGCAAGCGUUAAUCGGAAUUACUGGGCGUAAAGCGUGCGCAGGCGGUUCGGAAAGAGAGGUGUGAAAUCCCAGGGCUUAACCUUGGAACUGCACUUUUAACUACCGGGCUAGAGUACGUCAGAGGGGGGUAGAAUUCCACGUGUAGCAGUGAAAUGCGUAGAGAUGUGGAGGAAUACCGAUGGCGAAGGCAGCCCCCUGGGAUGAUACUGGAGCUCAUGCCCGAAAGCGUGGGGAGCAAACAGG
rnacentral:rRNA from 1 species